AUAGUAUGGCUAACCAAGCUUUUCAACCUCACUUUCCGGGCAAUCAAGAUGCCAGAAGAAUGGAGACGGAGUAUAUUAGGACCAAUCUUCAAGAACAAGGGGGAUGUUCAGAGUUGUACUAAUUACCGUGGAAUUAAGCUGAUGAGCCAUACAAUGAAGCUAUGGGAGAGAGUCAUUGAGCACCGCUUAAGAAGAAUGACAAGCGUGACCAAAAAUCAGUUUGGUUUAAUGCCUGGGAGGUCGACCAUGGAAGCCAUUUUCUUGGUACGACAACUUAUGGAGAGAUAUAGGGAGCAAAAGAAGGACUUGCAUAUGGUGUUCAUUGACUUGGAGAAGGCCUAUGAUAAGAUACCGCGGAAUGUCAUGUGGUGGGCCUUGGAGAAACACAAAGUCCCAGCAAAGUACAUUACC
rnacentral:rRNA from 1 species